UUGGAAGAACACAGGAUUGCCCUAGUAACGGCGAGUGAAGCGGCAACAGCUCAAAUUUGAAAUCUGGCUCUUUCAGAGUCCGAGUUGUAAUUUGCAGAGGGCGCUUUGGCUUUGGCAGCGGUCCAAGUUCCUUGGAACAGGACGUCACAGAGGGUGAGAAUCCCGUACGUGGUCGCUAGCUAUUGCCGUGUAAAGCCCCUUCGACGAGUCGAGUUGUUUGGGAAUGCAGCUCUAAAUGGGAGGUAAAUUUCUUCUAAAGCUAAAUAUUGGCCAGAGACCGAUAGCGCACAAGUAGAGUGAUCGAAAGAUGAAAAGCACUUUGGAAAGAGAGUCAAACAGCACGUGAAAUUGUUGAAAGGGAAGCGCUUGCAGCCAGACUUGCUUGCAGUUGCUCAUCCGGGCUUUUGCCCGGUGCACUCUUCUGCAGGCAGGCCAGCAUCAGUUUGGGCGGUGGGAUAAAGGUCUCUGUCAUGUACCUCUCUUCGGGGAGGCCUUAUAGGGGAGGCGACAUACCACCAGCCUAGACUGAGGUCCGCGCAUCUGCUAGGAUGCUGGCGUAAUGGCUGUAAGCGGCCCGUCUUGAAACACGGACCAAGGAGUCUAACAUCUAUGCGAGUGUUUGGGUGUCAAGCCCGAGCGCGUAAUGAAAGUGAACGGAGGUGGGAACCCGCAAGGGUGCACCAUCGACCGAUCCUGAAGUUUACGGAAGGAUUUGAGUAAGAGCAUGGCUGUUGGGACCCGAAAGAUGGUGAACUAUGCUUGAAUAGGGUGAAGCCAGAGGAAACUCUGGUGGAGGCUCGCAGCGGUUCUGACGUGCAAAUCGAUCGGCAAAAUUUGGGGCAUAAGGGGGGAGAGACUAAUCGAACUAUCUAGUAGCUGGUUCCUGCCGAAGGGUCCCUCAGGAUAGCAGUAACGUAUUCAGUGUUUAUGGAGGGAAAGGCCGAAUGAUUAGAGGGAUUGGGG
rnacentral:rRNA from 1 species